AGUGGAGGGCAGAUAAGGUGCAGUGAAGGUGCAGUGGAGGGCAGAUAAGGUGCAGUGAAGGUGCAGUGGAGGGCAGAUAAGGUGCAGUGGAGGGCAGAUAAGGUGCAGUGAAGGUGACAAAGGCACUAACAUAAAGAGAACAACUCUAGAUUUUAGACAUGGCCCUUGCAUUGUAAAGUUGCUACAUAGCCACUUCAUCUACUUACCACCAUGUUUUACUCUUCCACUGAAAAUCAAAAA